ACAAUAACAUUCGGACCGUCGGUCUACCGAGCAACGUCACCCGCUCGGUGGAAGAUCUUCCCUUUGUAUUAGU
rnacentral:pre_miRNA from 1 species